rnacentral:lncRNA from 1 species
AGGGUUCAGCAGCUCCAUCUUUACCAGCCACACAUGAAGAGGCCUAUCUAACUAUCAACCUUCCCCAUACCCCAUCAAUUGGAGUAGUGGAUAUUGACGGUUCGUCAGGGGAGAAAGAGAAGGACCCUAGCUCGACAAAAGAAGCUCACAACACAUAUUUCCUUGUUCCUCAUUCUGUGCCUGAUGCUAGCAAGGAAAAGCCUAGCACACCCUCUCAGAGCAACAAGCAAAAAGAAAAGGCUUCUUCCUCAUCAUCCAACUUACCAGAACAGCCAACUCCUCCAGCUGUCGUUUAUCCCAACAUAUCCCUCCCUGAGGUCUUGCUCGAACUUCAGAAACUCAAGCAAAAGGUUGACUCCCCGAGCCAGAAGCCAUCAGUCCAACAAGCUCAAGAUCUAAAACAAUCCUUCAAACACUGGUUGGAAGGUGGUUUUGAUGUCAACUUCCAACGCGACAUGCUUAAUCAAGCUGAGAGUACACUUGAGAAGCUGUAUGAGCUUAAUGAGAUCACCGAAGAGCAAUUCAAGACCUUUAAAUCCUUCUUCCAGUUUCUAAAGCAGUUGCAGGAACAAUACUUCCAAGCUGCCAAAGAGGCUGAAGAUAUGCAACAAAUGAAACUCCAACACUCUGAGUUCUCUACUCUUUUGAAAUCUUUUAUUGGAGAAGGAACCGAAAUUAGGGAUAGUAUUUCUGUAGUGGACCAACAAAUUCAGCAGCUAGAGAAAGAGUUGGCCAAACUGAAAGCUGAGAAAGCUAGCUUGGCUAGUGAACUAGCUGUGAAAGUGGUUGAGGCCCGAAGUGCAAGUCAACAAGUAGAUAUUUUGGAUGCUCAGUUGGUCAACAGCAACAUCGCAGUUGAAGAACCUGAGAGGCUGGAGAUUGACAUGAAGACUGUGUAUGCUAGGAUUGUUGCCCUAGCUAAGGAUGCUCAAUUGUAAUUUCUGUUCGUUUGUGUUUAUUUUCUUUUGUUAUUUCAGUUUUUGUAAAGCCACUUGCUGGCUAUCAAUACUUCUAUUAGUAAAAGUUCGCAUUUCUAAUUUUUUUUUUUUUAAGUUUUGCUUCAAAAUCCUUCUGUUAUUCUGUUGUCGCAUAAAAACUUGUGAAAUAAAGAUGCAUUGUUUAGAGGCUUUCUUAUUCACAACAUCUCAAUACAAAUGAUGAACAGGUUUUGGAUGAAGUUGUUUUCUCAAACAAAUUUAACUGUACUACAUACUUCAUAAAAAGCAAAGACAGAGAACUUUUGCCAGCUCGGGCAAAAUUUGGAGGGUCACUCAAAAUUUACAAUGUCACUUAAGGACAUAAAACUUUUGAAAUGAAGUUUUAAUAUAGGCAAUGUGGCAGAUGCAAUUACAGAGAUAUGUCAAAUUUCAAAGGAAUUUGGAAAAGGUAGGCUGCAGCAAGUUUUUGUAUUGUGAGUUGAGUGUCCUUGUCUUCUGCGUUUCUGCUACCUUAUAUAGAACAUAUUUUCCCUUCGAAGUAAUUCUCUCUUCUCCUAGUUGUUGAUGUGACUACUGACAGGAGAUAAAAAUUUACAUUGCAACUUGAGUUUUCAUCCCUUCAAAACUACCAAAAUGGCAUCAAAAAGUGGCUUUCCUCGGUAACUGUCCAAUGUGAAAGAGGGUUUUGCCGCUGGAGUAGGAUUCUCUCUCCUCCUAUUCUCAUCCCCUUCUCUCUCCUCCUUUCACACAUUGUUUUUUGUCUUAUUGUCUCUAUAAAAAAAACAAUAUAAGAUGUUGACGAAGCUUAACCGUGACCGUUCAAAUAGGAAGGGAGGGAAGAUGAGAGAAAUUAGGAGAGGAGAGAAUCCUCCUUCGCCGCCCACAAAGCCUUGUGGAAAAUGCUUUUAAAUUCUUGAGCUUGCACACCAUUCACUUUUAUCAACAUAAAUAUUCAUCUGUGCAUUAAGUGAAAAAGUGAGUCUGAGCCUCAUAGACCCAAUGUUAAUUUGGGGUCCAAACGUGCCUAAUGCCCUAAUCUACACACCGCAAAGAGAACUCUCUUACAACAAAUUUUGGGAGAUGACAGCGUUUUACUGGUGAGGAGCUCUCUAUCAAACCAGUUAAGCUUUCCAAAGAAGACCUAGAAGAGGAGCUCAUAAAACUGUUUAUGACAACUAGAUUUAAACCAAGGUAUACAUUUGACUAUGUUUUAUAGCAAAUUGGGUUGUAUUACAUUCAGUCCUGGGUAUUUUAUGGAUCGUGAAUCUCUCUUUGUUGUCGGAGUUGAGUGAGCAUUCUCUAGCAAUCCAUUACAAUUCAUUCAAUUAUAGUUCACAAAGAAUUUCUUCUGUUUCAUUAUGCAAUGAGUGAGGCAGCUGAUAGCUGGCUGGCUAUGAUGGAUUGCUACUUGACCCUCGGAGAUAGUAGCAUUGAUGAGAAGAACUUAGUGAAGGCAAAUAUACAUCGUCUGGUUGAUAUAUACUACGAUGAGCUAGAUGCACCAAACAAAGGUGGAAAUUAAGGUAAUUAGUUCUACUUUUUGUUGCUUCACAUGUGUAAUUGGAUGUUUCUCCAGUGCUUGGUCGUACAAAGAAAUGUUCCCUCUUUUGCGCAAAAAUCAAAAAAUAUAUAUUGCCAUCAAGUGUAGCAGUCUUCAUUGGACCACAAAUAUCACUGUGAUCAGUUCCAAUGGCACUAAUGCUCUCUAUGCUUGACCAGUUGGAAAAAAGCUUCUGUGUUGUUUUCCCAAGUUACAUCCUUCACACACUUCACUAGUUUUUUUUUUAAUUUUUAUUUUAGGUAGGCUAAGAACCAUUUGUUGGUUCUGCAAAGUUUUCAAGCUUUGAAAGUUGAGGUGGCCUAGUCAGUUGUGCCAUAGCCAAGAUGACUCAUUGAUAGUUGCUUUCAUUGCAAGAUUCCCAAGAAAUCUCAGCAAUAAGGGAAAUCUUCUGUUUUUCUUCAUUUCAACUUUGGAGACAUGAUUUUGCAGGGUCCUGUCAUCAUAAAUUUCAACCACAUCAUCACCAAAAAGAAAGAAAUACCUAUGUUCUAUCAUCUGUCCUACACUGAGUAGGUUUUCAUCCACCACAAGUACCAACAUCCCUUUUCUGAUGUAUCUUUUCCCCUUCUUAGUGUCUAUAAUCAGGGUUCCUUUACCAACAUCAUCCACUAUGUUUCCAUUCCCCAUUUUAACUCUGCUAGUAUAGGUUGUAUCCAAGUCAAUAAGUAGACCUGUGUGCUGUCAUGUGGUUGUUGCAGCCAUUGUCUAUAUACCACACACUCUCAUUUUCUUCUAUUGUUGCAACUCUACAUUCAAAGAACACAUUAGCCUCUUCCUCAUCAACUUGGCUUGCAAAUUGCACCUAUUGGUUUCUUCUACCACUAUUGCAAUCUUUAGCCAAAUGACUAAAUCUUUCACAUUUGUGACAUUUGGGUUUACCCUUGAACCAUCAAGCACCAUAAUGCAAUUUAUCACAUAUCUUGAAAGCCACUUUCUGUGUUCCUUCAGUGGUAUUUGGUUUUGCAAGACUACCACCCUUGUUCUCCCAUUUCUUAUUUUUCACUUUCCAUGGUUUCUUCUCUUUUUGACUGUUGCUUGACUGUCCACUAGUGUUAUAGUUCUACUUACCAAUAGUGAGUGAUUGAAAGGCCUUAUCAGUAGCUGUAUAAUCUACUGCAUGCAUUUCUAACCUUUGCUCAACUACUCUUAGUGAUGCAAUCACUUCUUGAACACUGAUUACAUAUGAGUCCUUAGCUUCUUCAAUAAGUGACACAAUGUUAUAAUAGGACUUUGUUAGACUAAUAAGCAGCUUUUGCACUAAUCUUUGAUUUGUGAGUUCUUCACCAUAGUUCUUCAUUUGAUUCACAAUAUCAAACAAUCCAACAAGAUAGUCCUUAAGUGGUUCAUUUCCCUCAUCUUAAUGUACUCAAAUUCACAUCUAAGAGAGGUAAGUUCCAUUCUUCUAACCUUUUUAUCACCUCUGUAUUCCUCUUGAAGAAUGUCCUAUGCUCCUUUGGUUGUUUCUUUAUUUGCAAUCCUUGGAAAUAUGAUGUCAGAGACUGCACCUUGAAUAAAGGCAAAAGCUUUAGCAUCCUUCGUGAGAGUUUCUUUCACAGCUGGGGUUACAUAUCCCUUUUCCAGCAAAUCCCAAAGAUCAUGAGACUCAAUGAUGGUUCUCAUCCUUAUUCUCCAAAAGUCUUAGUUUUCACCUUGAAAGAUUGGAGCUUUCAAGUCAUUGCCUACUGUUCUAGCCAUCGCUUCCAGCAAAUCCCAAAGAUCAUGAGACUCAAUGAUGGUUCUCAUCCUUAUUCUCCAAAAGUCUUAGUUUUCACCUUGAAAGAUUGGAGCUUUCAAGUCAUUGCCUACUGUUCUAGCCAUCGCUCCCAAUGAAAAGUAGAUUUCUAGGGUUUUCUUGUUGGAAAUUCCCUAAAGUUCACAGAUCGAACUAAGGCUCUGAGGCCAUGAUGGAUUUAAGGUAAAACUUAAGAGAGAAAAGAUGAAGAACAAAGGAAUUUUCAGAGAAUGUUUAUAGAGAAUUUUAGAGUAAGCAAAUCAUAGCUGCUCCUCUAGUUGAUUUCAUUAAUACAUUCAUUCCUUUACAUUCAUCCUUAUCUAGCUACAACCUCAGGUACAUUGUCUUCAAAUUACAACUGUGCUAUUGUUCAUCUAAGCCAUACACCUUACCUCUAAUAUGAGACAUACAUGUGUCCAGCGUGAGAUAGCUUUACACUAUAGAUAAGGAUAUUAAAAAAUCUAGCCGUUAGCUUUUACAACUGAGUUGCUUAAAUUAAAACAGAAUAUUAAGGAGGCUGAAUCAGAUUAACUUCCAACAAUAAGUAAUCUACAACUAAAAGCUAGAUAUGAAACCUAAAAUCAUGUAAUUAUGUAUGAAGCAGAGAAUAAUGCAGAAAGAUGACUUUCUAUAGUGCUGCUAAUGAUAAUUAAUUUCUCAUGAAAACAAAGAAAAGAGAAACAAAGGUAUAAGACUAAUUUAUUGUUAGAUGAUAUGCAUCAUAAUAGCAGUAAACUGAAAAUUAGGUAAAAAUUAGUAAAAAUUGAAACUUUUUUUCUGAUGUAAUAUUCUCUUCAUUUCACACAUUGUUUUUUUUUCAUUUCUUGGUUCCAACGAUUUUAUUUAGGAUUUUCUUUCUCAAAUUAUAUUUCAUGAUUUCUCUACGGCCUGGAAAAUAAUAGCCUUCCUUGAUGAUAAAUAUAGUACAAAAGCAUAACCCUAUGAAUAUCUGAAAGUAAAUGAGUUGUUUUGCUUUUUAAUUGGAAAUCAUGACGAACAAAAACCUUUCACCAGGGAGAAUUGGGGGAUCCUUUCCUAUAUUAGUUGUAAUAUCAUUUAGACGAAAUCAGUCAUUUUAGUUUUCCCGACUGAUACCAUACCAUACAUACCAAGCAUCAACAGCAUAUGCAAAUUUUCACUUUGUUUCACACAUCGUUUUUUUUCAUUUCUUGUUUUCCAACCAUUUUAUUUAGGAUUUUCAUUUUCAAUAGUUUGUUUCUAAAUGUACUUGUUUUCAAUUUAAGAGGGUGGUCCUAUAUAGACAUGAGCCAGGAAGGAGGAGUUCCGGUAUGCUGGGCCAUUUGUGGAUAAGUGAGACAGGGAUGCCUACACAGAAAAGAAAGAAACAAGAGGAGCUAAGGCCAUUUCCAAUGGAGAUGGCUUAAGGUUUAAAAGCCUAAAAAUGGUCUAAUUUGUCCAGAAACUCACCUCCAACCGAUGACUUGGCUAUAAUUCUUUGGAGUCUAUCAGGCCAUUAUUUGGCCAUAUGGGCAUCAUGUUGGCCAAUUGUAGUUCCUUUCGCAGUUUCUUUUUUGGGGCCCAACUCUUCAGUUGCAAUAAUUGAUUUAAAUUCACUGACUAGAUUUGAAACCAUCCAACGUAGUUUAAUUAAUUAACCAACAAAUUUAAAGUAUAAACUUAAUACUAAUAAAUUAUUGAGGGGGCUAUAUUUAGCCCAUUCGAUUGGAAAUAGUAUAUGAGUAUGGUCUAACAAUGUUUAUGUAAAAAUAUUUUUUUGCAGGCUAUAUUUCUGGAUGAGGCUACGUUUAGCACUUUUCGGUUGGAAAUGGCCUAAAAGACCUAUUACUGCUUACUACUGCCAUGAAAAAGUAUUUCAUUUGUGCCUUGUCCCCAAUGGGUUUUGUUUGUUGGUUGAAUUGUACUUGAGGGAGGAAUGAGUUAUCGGUUGUCAAUAUCAUCGAAUCAAUCCAGGGCAAAUCUCAUCCAAAUUUCUAAUUGCAUCCUCAACCUUUUUGGCUCUAAGAAUCUCAAGAUUUUCGAAACUCUUAGGGGGUGUAUUCAAUUAGGAUUGCGAGAGAGUUUCAAGGAAUUAAUAAUUCCAGGUGUAUUUAAUUGGGAAUUUAAAAGACUUUAUAAAAGUCUUGGUGUAUUCAAUUGAGAUUCUUAAAGACUUCUUACAAUUCCCUAUAAAUUUAGGCGUAUUCAAUCAUAAUUUUAGAAAGUCUCUAAAAGUUUAGGUGUAUUGAAAAAGAAAGUGGAUUUGAACGGAUUUGUGAUUUGGUGGAUUUUGGAGGAUUUCAAGGUGAUAUGUAUAAAUACCAAAGAGCUUGGCAAAUCUCCCCUCAACCCUAGAAACUUUGAGAGAUUUUGAGCGUGCGGCUCUUUCCUCGAGAGACCGUCUUCUCCUCUCCAGAAACAUAUCAAUGUAAAUAUAUCAUAAUUUUAUUAUAUGUGUCCCUGCCAUAUCACGUAUUAUUAUGUGUCCAUGAUAUGUGUAGAACUACGUAGAAAACAUUGAUCACAGGUUAGACCGGUGCAGCUGUUGUUGAAGGUGAGGCCGGCCGAUUUGAUACCGUGGGAAGAGAAAAAUCUCUUCACUGCUGCAUUUUAUCAAACAGUGGAUCUUCAUGAUCAAGAACUCCAAUUUUCUUGGGAAUCGGAUGAUUGUACUUGCCCAAUUUUAUCUCAGAAGUUGUACAAACUAGAGGAUUGACAAGAGAAAGAGAAAUUUUCAAGGAGAUUGCGGAAGCGCGGGAUUGUUUCUUGGCGAGGAUACCAUGUGAGAAUUGAAGAAAUGCAGAAAAGAGUGCAUAGAGAAUUAGAGAGAGAGAGCUUGAAAGUUUCGUAAAUUGUUCUUUCGUGAUGAAAAGUAAUUGUUUUACAAAGAGAAAAGCCACAAGUGCUGAAAGAUCAAGGUACUAGACCCAUGAAUCAGCCCAAGAGAUUUAGUAGACCGAGCACUAUCUCAGUGAUAUGUAACGAGCGCAUGAAUCAGCCCAAGGGAUUUAGACCGCUCAAGGCAAUUGAUUGUUUGCCGACUAAAAGAGACGAGUACAGGGCUUAAACUACUUUCGACCGCUCAAGAUGCAGGCCAGUUAUGUUACGACUUUGACAAUUUAAAGGUUAUGGAACCUGAGGAAGUUAAAAGCGACAUAUGAAGAUAGAGAGGGGCAAGAGACAGAGGAAUGCAGAAAUUCUAUAUGCUCCAAAUGAUAACCCUUAGUUUAUGGUGGUGUGUUAGCUUUGGUUCAUCUGAUGAGGGCUUUUGUUUGUGAGGAAACUCUCUCUCUACUUACAGAUAUUUUUUAAUGUGACCAUCACACAAGGUGGUACACCACAUGUGACUAUACAAAUGGUGGAAUAUAUGUGUCAAAAAGUUAAUAACUUAAAAAGUAAAAUUUCCCACCACUUAUAUAAAAACACAUGUUAUACCAUCCGUAUUCUCGUCACAAUAAAAAAUUUCUCAUGUACUUGAUCACAAUGUAAUAAAGCAGAUUUGAUUGGUAUUUCUAACUUUGUCUAACAAAAGUAUCUUGGUAAAUAAAAAUACCGAAAAUAAAAUAUAAAUUUAUAAGUUGUGUCUAACCCAAGUUAAUAAAAACUUGUAAGUCCCGCGUAGGGCUCAUGACUUGGAAAAAACACUCUCGCGUGCUAGUUAUUAUUAUAUGCAAGCAAUAUUAGUGAAGGGGGCCGGAAUUUCAAAUCGUGGUCUUGAGGCAAAGGUAAAAGUUCUUAACCGAAAGGCCACAAAAAAUUUGUAAAAAAAAUAAAAUUACAGCUUUUGUUCAAGAUUAAAAUUAGAUGAAAAUCUUACACUAAAAGGCUAUCAUAAAACAAAUGGCACAAAUAAAUGAUAAAAUGCAAAAUAAGAAGGUGUGGAUUAACAUUGUGUUUGUCUGUUGGUUUGAGAUUAUGGUGUUUCUAAAAAAAGCAGCUGAUUAAAAAUUUGGAGCAACACAACAAAUGUGUUUGCUUAAAAAAAAAAAAUUCUAAAAACAGUUGUCAAUGAUAGUAGAAAAGUAGAAACAGAGUCUAUCAUACUUUUAAAAAAGGUUUUUUUUUUCAAAGAAUAGUGAACAGUGCCCAUUUAAUGAAAUUUUCAAACAAUACGUAUACCUCUGCAUACUUUAUAAAAUUAAAAUUUUUGCCCCUGCAUUAUUCUCCUUGACAAUUAUUAUAUCACAUUCAAUACCAUAUCAUUUUAGUCAUUUAACAUAUCCACAUUAAUUUUAUAUAAAAGUUUAUCAAACACUCAGAUACUAUUUUUUUUUGUUAUAAGCACUUGAAAAAAAAAGGUUUAUCAAACACUCAGACAUUGUUUUUAUUUUAUUUUUAUAAGCACUUAUAAAAAAAGUUUAUCAAAAACUCAAGAACUUUAUUUUACAACUGUUUAUUCUCGAAGCACAAUAGAAACAAUUUUUUUUUAAAAGCACAACAAUAUCAAAUUAGCUCUUAGUAUUUCAGUCUAGUGGUAUUUCUCUUCACUUGUAAGUGAGAGGUCUUAGAUUUGAUGUAACAUCCCACAUCGUCCAAGGGAGUGGAUCAUGUAAGCCUUAUAUGUAUAUUUCUAUCUUUUCCUAGCACGAGGCCUUUUGAGAGCUCACUGGCUUCGGAUUCUGUAGGAACUCCAAAGUUAAGCGAGUAACGCACGAGAGCACUUCCAUGAUGGGUGAUCCACUGGGAAGUUCUCGCAUGAGUUCCUAGAAACAAAACCGUGAGGGCGUGGUCGGAGCCCAAAGCAUACAAUAUCGUGCUACGGUGGAGUUGAGCUCAGAAAGUGGUCUUGCCCGGGCUGGAAUGUGACAUUUGAAUCUUGGGAUUGGCGAGUUGCAACCAAUUUAUUCUCUAACCCCCUCAAUGUAAAUAUAUCAUAAUUUUAUUCAAACCUAUGUUUUGUAUCUCUACAGUCACAUUCUAUUUGAUUUUUUUUAACAAACGAUAUUUAUCUACACUAAGGGGCUAGGGAGUGGGCUAGUAAUAAUGUGGUUCAAAUUCGCCUUUGGCAAGAAUCGAACAAAAGACAUCUCACUUACAAUGGGCUAGCAAUAAGGUGGUUCACAUUUUAUUUGAUUUAUGUAUUUAUUAUAUCUUUGUAUCCAACAUUAGUUCCUAAAAACCACCCUUGCUUGUGAAAACCCAACUCAAUUAUCUAAACUUCUUUUUACACUCAAUUAGUUCUUAUUAAUUAUUAAGAAAUGCAAAAAUUAAAGGCGACUCUAAUAAAGAACAGAACCCUAACAAAAUUAAUUUUUGGUUGCUACUAGAAAACCCAAACAAAAAUUUGAUCCACCUUUCGCCCACAUCAGCAUAAUCCAUACGCAAUUAUAAGGGUUUUGCAUAACCAUACUCCUUGAAUGGUGAUGAACAUUGCAAACAAGGGGUGACGAUGUAUGAUCACAAUAUUGCUGGUGUAGGCGGGAAAAGUUUCCACACCAAAAUGUCUGGUAGAAUGACACGGAACCAAAAAUCUUACGCCUUGUGGGUGUUAAUUAACCAAAUACACUGGAAACCUUUACUCUGUAAUCUGAUAUGAUACUAGUGUAGUUCUUGUAAUUGAUCGUAGAAAUUUUAUAAAUGUUGGAAUAAUGGGUGACAUGCCUGCCAAAUUAGCUAUUGUGAAUUGAUUAGCUGAGAGUACAGGGUUGUUACUUGGUUAGUUAGUGGCUUAGCUUGCAAGUCAAGUAUAUAGCUUGUCAAUUGUGCAAUGCAGGCAAUUAAGAAGAAUGUUGUAAUGUCUCAGUAGUAUACUUAGCCAAAUAUUCAUAACGUCUAGAAUUCUCAUUGAAAAGAAACCCCAUCCAGAUCUCAACAAAUCAUAUAUGCAAAUCUCGAAUACCAUUCAUCGCACUCCAACCAUGCAAACCCUCCUUUGUAACCCUGGCGAUAAGGGAUUCAGCAGAAACUUUAUAAACAAAGCAGUCUUCCACAACCAUCCUGACUAUCCUUAGUCCAUUAAAUGAGCCCUUAGCAAAGACAACGUCGUCCUGAUCAUUUACAAGCAAAUUAAGACUCAUUUAGUAGGGGGGUGAUUUGCAACAAUCACAAUUAGAUCAAAUGGAGGUUCUGUUUGUUAGGAAUGUUGGUACUACAAGAUAGAGAAUGCUCAAGGUAAAGUAGAAAAUGGACACCAAGAAUUUAUGUGGUUCAGCAAUUUAUGCCUACGUCCACAAAACAAGGAUCAAUCUUCACUUUAUGAAAAAGAUGAGUACAACAAGAGUAGUCUUACCAAGCCAAGGACAAGGCUUGAUGGAUACAAGAAAGUAUGACACACACUUUAUAUCACUCUAAACUUCACUCAUAAUGUGUAGUGGAACACUCUCACUCUCACUCUUGGAGUGGAACUCUAGCUUUGGACUUGAUCCUUUGCUACUCACACUUGGUUCUUAAUUGGUUACUUCACUACAACAUCACACCCAUAUUUAUAAGUGAGGGUUUGGCAUUCUACUAGUUUCUAGUGUAUUCUUCAAACCUCUAGCAUAGAAAGAUCUAGACUAGCCACAAAAUUGUAGUUUCUAGAUCUUUCCAUUUGCAACCAAGGAAGCUAGUACUCUCUAGCUUCUUCCAUCAACUUAAUAACAUGCUAGAAUUGUCUAGCAUGCUCUAGCCACCUCUCUUGCUUACUAGAAUAAUCUAGAACAUUAAUCAUGGGUUGGACCAUAUACCAACAAUCUCCCCCUCCAGUCCAUGAGGGAGGAAUUCCGAUCAUGACUCCAAGUUACCUGGAGUCCAUCCCAGCAGCCUUAAUGCAGAAUUCCAACUUUGAUUUUGUGACUACCAAGGAUAACUUGAAUGGAAGUCAUCUUCACCACCGGUGAGAAAAUCUUAUCAAAGUCAACUCAUUUCUUUUGACCAAAACCUUUGACAACCAAACAAGCCUUGUACCUUGUCAUGUUGUCGUCUCUUUUCAAUUUGAACACCCACUUGUUUUUCAAUGCUUUUCUGCCUUUUGGAAGCUCCACCAGCUCAUAGGUACCAUUCUUUAAUAAGGAAUCCAUCUCUGACUCCAUUGCCUUCAUCCAUUUAUCACUGUUGUUAUGAGCUCUGGCCUCCUCAUAAGUUUCGGGCUCUCCAUAAUUAGUCAACAUGAUAUACUCUGAUGAAGAAUACUUGGUAGACGAUCUUCGACUUCUGCUAGAUCUUCUGACCUGAUCUUCAUUCUCUUGCGGGGCUGGAGGCUCCCCCUAAUUAGGUUCUCCUUGAAUCUGCUUUUCUUGACUAGGCUCCCCUUGAUCAGCAAUCUCAUGGUCUGACACAUCUUGAUCAGGCUCCCCCUGAUCAGCAUUAUCUGGUUCUGCAGACACUUCAUUGGCAGCUACUUCAGGGAUGUCAUCGUGACUUUCUUCAUCUGAAGCUAAUGGAUCAACUCCUCUGACUGCGCCAUCUAGUUGUGCCUCUUUAUCUGAAUCCCCAAUUGUUAUCUUCAUAAAAGACCACGUCUCUACUUCGAAUAAAUUUCUUCUGGUAUGGGUCCCAUAAUCUGUAACUAAAAUCUUCACCGCCAUAACCAAGAAAGAUGCACGGUGUAGCUUUGUAGUCUAACUUCGAUCUCUGUUCUUUGGGCACAUGCACAAAAGCUUUGCAACCAAACACCUUCAGAUGAAAGUAAGACAUAUCAUUACUAGUCCAUACUCUCUCUGGAACAUCAAGACCUAAUGGUACUGAUGGAGAUCGGUUGAUCAAAUAGCAGGUUGUCCUUAUAGCUUCACCCCAUAACUGCUUAGAUAACUUUGCAGUCCUCAGCAUACACCUGACUUUCUCCAUGAUGGUUCGGUUCAUUCUUUCAGCAACACCGUUAUGUUGUGGAGUUCCAGGAACUGUCUUCUCAUGACGUAUGCCACGUUUCACACAAUACUCUCUAAACUGGUGAGAUGUGUACUCGCCACCGUUGUCGCUACGAAGGUACUUUAGAGGUUUUCCAAUUUCCCUCUCCACCAUGGCAUGGAACUCCUGGAAUGUCUGAAACACCUGGUCUUUGGAUUUUAACAAAUACACCCAAACCUUUCGUGAAGCAUCAUCAAUAUAAGUAACAAAAUAUUCAUACCGUCUAGAAUUCUCAUUGAAAAGAAAUCCCAUCCAGAUCUCAACAAAUCAUAUAUGCAAAUCUCAAAUACCAUUCAUCGCACUCCAACCAUGCAAACCCUCCUUUGUAACCCUGGCGAUAAGGGAUUCAGAAGAAACUUUAUAAACAAAGCAGUCUUCCACAACCAUCCUGACUAUCCUUAGUCCAUUAAAUGAGCCCUUAGCAAAGACAACGUCGUCCUGAUCAUUUACAAGCAAAUUAAGACUCAUUUAGUAGGGGGGGCGGGGGGGAUUUGCAACAAUCACAAUUAGAUCAAAUGGAGGUUCUGUUAAGAUCAGGUCGAUAUGACCAUAUGUUUUAUACUAAAAAGAUGUAGAAUACAGACAUCUUUAUAUAAAAUUAAAAAAAGGAACAAUAACACUUACAUGAACAACAACGAAACAGCUCGUCAAUUCUUGAAGGGCCUGCAUCUCAAAUUCCCAAUUAUAUUUAUGAAAUUUAAUUAAACAAAUAGAAGGAAGGAAUUAAACAUGUUCCUAACAAAACGUGAAGCUAUAUGUACCUUUAGAUAGGAACAAUUAGGGCCUACAAGAAAUGCCUUCAGUUCAGGAAAUAGUUCCUGCAUGCACACAAGAUUAUACCAAGCUGAAAAUUAGAAAGUUUUUGCAUAUCUUCAGCAUUAAAGAAAGGGGCUAUAGACCUGUCUAGGCACUCCCUAUGUCUCAGCUUUCACUUAGACAGAAAAUAAAUAACUUUAAUUUGUAUUUUCUUUUUUCAAUAAAUUGUAUGAAACUUGUUACAUACUUGAUUGAACACUCAUUAUACAUUAUUCUCCUUGUUUUCAAUAUGUUUCAAUACUUUAUAAUUUAUAUAAUUCUAGUUCAUGUUUUCAAUAUGUUUUAAUAAUUUAUAAUUUAUAUUUUAUUCUAUUUUACAAUUUACGUAUCUCAAUACAAUUAUAUGUUUUUUUUAAGUAUAAGUAGACGUUUAAAUUUAUAUGUUAUAUAAAAAUUAAAAAUUCGCCUAGGCCCCAGCCGACGCUCGACUAGCGCUUAGUAUUUUUUAGAGCUUUGGUUACACAUAAUGAGAUAAAGGACAAUUAGUGGUAAUCCGAUUAGGCGGUCAUAUGUUGUUUACUCAUACGAUUAGUCAUUGAUAGGCCUUCUACUCACUGCAUUCUUCGCAUCUAAUGUCAGUGUCAAUAGUCAAGUUUUUCAUGUAGUGAGUUGGCAGACACCAUAAAAAAUGAAAGGAAAUCUUUAAGAAUUAUACAUACCCUCUUGAUCCCAUAUUUUGAGCAAAGCCCGCCCACUUGAAACCCAAUUUUGAUGAUUAAAAAUAAACGCACACCCAGAUAUUUUAUUGCCUACAAUCAAAUAUUGUGCCCUAAAAUCAGAAAAGUAAAACGAAAUAGCUCAAAAUCAUUGUCAUGUUGCUACCACAAAAGAGAAAAGAAAUUAUGUUUUAUGAGAUCAAGGAGAGAUCAAACGCAAUAUGAAAAACUACUUCGAAUCAUAAAGGAUCUGACGAACCUCAGGUGCUGAAACAGUACUUGUUGAAAAAAGGAAAAGAACAAUCCUAGCCUGAAUAAAAAUAACUUCGUUCACGUGGCAUCUGAGUGCCGAGAUUGUCAUGGAACCCUCAACCUGACCAUAUUUACUUUUAAUAAAGAAAAAGAGAGGAGAUAAAAAAGACAAAUGGACAAGAUCGUCCGUAAAUCCCAGAGAAGCAAAAUUGUGCAUAAUUGGAAUUUAACUACUAAUCAAUCUGAAGUUGAUUUCACAAAGAUCUAUAAUUCAUACAUAUUUAAAAAUUCAACACAAUUAAGAGCUUUAAAACAAUGUCUAUUAGGACUGUAGGACAUAGCAAAAUUUGUUUUCUGAUACAACAAUGUAUAAUUUGUGAGUAGGGAAAUUUAGGUUAAACCAUAUCAUGGACACAUAUAAUAAUAUGUGGUAUUGAAGUCGAUCCAUGCGGAUCUUAAUGUCAAUAGAUAUGGUUCACUUAUCGUUUGAAGGUCUAAUUUUCGGCCCAAUGACAUUUGCGGUGACAUCGGGCCAAUUCAAGGAAAGGUGCUAGUGUACCGGCAUCCAGGUUUACAUUUUGGUGAUGUUCAUGUUUUGAAGGUGUUCGUCUAGAGGAAUAUCCAGUGAGGACGUUUCCUGGCCAACGAGCACACAUCUCCUCGAGAGGUUGGCGCCGGUUGAUAUCGUAUGUCGGGCUUUUGCUUAUUGGCGGACUGUAAGAGAAUGACAUAAUUAAUUCUGAAAGGUGCCUUUGUGGGGCCUUAGGUGUAGGCCUUGAGGCUCACAAUCAAAAUUAACUUUAAGUACCCAAGGGUGCCACUGCCAUCUUUAGCAUGAUAAAUGUAAAACUGAUGUUAAGUUUUAUUGUAUAUAUAUAUAUCUGAGAGACUGAGUUAGUUAUGAAAGGUGUCUUUGUGAGGCCUUAAGUGUAGGCCUUGAGGCUUCCCAUCAAAACUAACCGAAUACUUGAACAUAUAUUGGUUGUUUCAUUGUUGCAUAAGUAUCACAAUCGUUAUACUUUAAUUGCCCGAGCUAGCAGAGCAGAAUGAACUCAGAUAGGUGCCUUUGUCGGGCCUUAGGUAUAGGCAUUGAGGCUUCCUAUCAGAGUUAAUUCUGUACUCAAGCGUUUUGUGGGAAUCAUGAUAUAACAGUUGUAAAACUAGAGAAUAAGCCAAUUACUUACGCCCCAAGUAACUUCGAACUUCUUGUUAUCAAGGAUUGUCGUGGAUGGGUUAAGUCCACAUAGAGUUCUUGUUUAUGCCUUGAGACCAAGGACUUUUAAUUGAUCAAUCUUGUCUGCCCGAAUGGUUAGAAUUUAGAAGUCUUUUAAUCAUAAAUUGGCUAGCAAUAACUUGGAUGCAAAUGGAAAUAUACAUCAUAUUACUAGAUAUAUGAAUGAAAGACAAAAACAAAGGAGGUCGGGCAAGGUUUCACCUUGUCGGGCAAGGCUGAUCGUCUUGCAACUUCCUCUCUUUGUGAUUUAUAAAGGGUUCGUAUGCUAACAAGGGAGAUUGGAAGAUGAGUUUAUAUGAGGGAAUCGAUACUACAAUAAGAUUUGAACAUGGUAGCAGAGCUUUCACAAAGGUUUUCUGGUGAAAGUUGAUCCCGAAAGGGAUGAAGGCUGAGGGCUGACUACAGCUUCGUGAAGGCAAAUCUGGUUUGAGCAGAGUUUAUGCUUGUAUUUGUUUGUUUGAUUAAGUGUCCUUGUCUCUGAUUUUUCUUCCUCCUUUUAUAGACGAUUUAGCUUGGCUGCCUGCAGUAUUGAUUUUGCCCGAAUGCUUCUGAGGGGUAGUGACCCAUCAACUUUUUACUUGUACUGCCAUUGUAAAGUACUUUUGGGCUGAUUAGCUGGCUGGUCUACACCACUUGACCUCUAGGUAGGUGAGCAGGUGGUUUGAAUGAUCUGCACUUGGACGGGAAAAAAUGCUCAUUCUUUCUUCUAGGCUUCGGCUGGGCCCUGGACUUUUCCUCCUUCUGGACCUUCUUUCGGGCUAACCCCCUUUUUAGCUCAAAGUUUAAGUUUUAUCCCAAACAGAAGGCCACCUACGUGGAUGAGUUGAAAGAAUUUGUUGGAAAUAGUGGCUUUGCUAUAUUCUUCUCUCGCAAAGGUUCGCAUUCAGUAGCUGAUGAAAUGGGUGGUGGAGAUUUUGAUGGCGAUCUAUAUUGGGUCUCAAGAAACCCUCGGGUUGGCAUUUACGCAUGAUUACUUUGUCAUUAUUUUGAAACUUCAACAUGCACAGACCAUCUAGAACUACUUAACCAGUUUAUGCAUGGAAUGGAAAUAAUUUUGUUCAUCAUUAAUUCUUGGAAUUAUUUCAGCUUUUAGAAUGUUUCAAACAAAGUGAACCUUGGAUCGAUACUUCAUCAACGCCCAAAGCUGCCACAACCUUACCACCAAGUGCGCUUUUGCCCGAUCAUAUAGAGGAUGCGCUCUUUAAACAAUUCUUGACAACUAGGUUUGAACCGAGGUAUGGUGAAUCUGUAUUAGACCCAUUUCAGUUGAAUUACAUUGAAAUUCUGGUUUUAUUUCGGUUCCAAAUGUGUUGCAGUUACUAUUUUCUCUAUGGUUAAUGCUCUUAGCUUAAGUAGAACCUUUUGAUAUCGUUUUGAAUGCUUUAAGGUAGCAUAGUUCAGUAAUUCUACUGGCAAAAGGAAACUUUAAAUUAGAAUUUUCCUUAUUAACGUUUAGUACGUUCUUGACAGUUACAAAGUAUCAAGUAAUUGUUGAACCUCGUUUUAAUUUGGUUUCCAUUCUUCUCGAUAUGAUAUCGGAUGGUAGAUCUCCCUAUUUGUUGAGACUGAGACGGCACUCUCUGGUUGUGGUUCAUGCUUAUUUGUAUUAAAUUUGUUUAUAAAUCGAUAAUUUCAUCCACAGCAAGUCUUAUGUUUCUGGUGCUCAAAAUAAUUUCUGUUUUUUUUUUCAGUUUUGCGAUGAGUACGGCUUCUGACAACUGGUUGGCUUAUAUGGAUGAAUUUUUGACCAUGAGAGAUGGUCAUGAGAAAACCCUUACGAAUGCAAAAAUGCUGCGGUUGAUUGAUUUAUACUACGAUGCUUUGGAUGCUCCAAAAAAAUGUCGAACGGUUAGUUCUGUUAUUUCGUGCUUCAGUCAUGUUAUUGGAUGAUAUCAAUAUUGUUGGAAAUUCAAAUCAAAACAGGUUGUAAAUGGCAGCUGCUAGCUGUUAGUUUCUUUACAGGUUGUAUUCUCACUUGCUGCAACUGCAAAGACUAAAGUUUUCUCCAUGUGCCAGCUGAAAGUGUGUUGAAAGACAGCAGAGAAGUGAGCUGCUGUGUGCUAGCCGAAAGGUUUGAUUCCAACCUGGAAUAAUGCAAUGCAUGUGUGUGCCAUACUAUCCAAAGUUGCUGCAUGUGUUUGAAAGGAUGUAAAGAUGGUAAACACCAUCAUUCAUUGCAAGUGUUGCUGUAUUGUUUAUCAAUUUUCUGUUUUGUAUAAAUAGGCCUUCUUGCUAGGCUUUAGAAUCAAUUCCAUUCCAAUUCCUUUCUCAUUUUCAGCUUGUAAGCUACUGAGUUUGUAAACUCUCUUUUCAUAUAUCAAAGUCCAAGUGUUUUGCCAAAGCUUGUAGCUUCCCUCCUUUCUCUAUUUCUUUGUCCAAUUUUAUUGAGAGUGCAAAGUGAGAGGUGUGAUAGAGUUUGUAAACUUAUCACCCACAUAUUUUGGUAUUGAGUUAGUAUACUUUUCAAUACCAACAAUUGGUAUCAGAGCCAGAAUACAAUUCUGGCAGGUGCAGCAGUUAUGGCAUCCAACUUAGUGCAGCUCCAAGUUCCCACAUUGAAGAAAGAAAAUUAUGAAAGAUGGUGCAUCCAAUUCAAAGCAUUGUUUGGAUCACAAGAGCUAUGGGAAGUUGUCAGUAGUGGGUAUGUUGUACCCACUACCGAGCAAGAAGCCACAUAUACUGCAGAUCAAAGGAACACUCUCAAGGAUUUACGAAACAAGGACCAGAAGGCGUUGUAUCUUCUCUAUCAAGGAUUAGAAAAUUCAACGUUCGAGAAGGUUACAGAAGCAACAACGAGCAAGCAAGUAUGGGACACACUCAGUACAAUCUACAAAGGAGUAGAUCGAGUCAAGAAAGUGAGUUUACAGUCACUUUGAGCAGAUUUUGAAACUGCUCACAUGAAUGAAGGGGAGAGCAUCUCCGACUAUCACUCAAGGCUCAUUGUGAUAGUAAAUCAGAUGAGGCGAAAUGGCGAGAGACUCGAUGAAGUACGAGUUGUGGAGAAGAUACUCCGGUCACUCACAUCUAAGUUUGAGCAUGUGGUGACUGCCAUUGAGGAAUCCAAGGAUUUGGAGGCGAUGAGCGCAGAUGAGCUACUAGGAUCCCUCCUAGUUCACGAGCAACGCAUUCAGAAGAAUGCAAGCCCCACAACACUAGAGCAAGCUUUGGAGUCAAAAUUGAAAAUUGACAAACCAAAUAAAGGUCGUGGGCAGUGGAACUCACGUCGUGGGAGUUCAUCCAACCGUAGCCGAGGACGAGCCUGAGGAAGAGGUCGAGGCUAUGAACAAAACCGAGGUCAAUCUCAAGAGUGGAGAUCUACCCGAGGAAAGGCGCAUAUCUAAUGUCACACUUGCAAGCAAUAUGGACAUUAUGCAAAUGAAUGUUCAUAUAAAAAUGGUGAGCAUGUCAACAUGGCAAAAUCAAAUGGAAAUGUUGGUGAGGAAUUUACAGUCUUACUAGCACACCAUGAUAUCAGUAGCCAACAAGAUGUUUGGUAUUUAGACUCUGGUGCAAGCAACCACAUGUGUGGAAAGAAAGAGUUUUUUGCCUAACUCAAAGAUGGGCCUUAUGGAUCUGUGAGUCUUGGUGACUCCUCAAAGCUGCCAGUUGAAGGCAAAGGGAAGAUCAAGAUCAUCCAGAAGGAUGGUAGAAAAGAAUACAUCUCCGAUAAUUACUACAUACCAGGUAUGAAGAGCAACAUUCUGAGCAUUGGUCAACUGCUCCAGAAAGGGUAUAUUAUACAUAUGGAGGAUAUGUUUCUCACUCUCAGGAAUGCAAGGAGAAAACUUAUUGCACGUGUUCAAAUGUCAAAGAACCGAAUGUUCCCGUUGAAGUUGAACACAAAAAUUGGAAGUUGCAACAUCGGUGUAAUGGAAGAUGAGUCAUGGAAAUGGCAUCUUCGAUUUGGCCAUCUUCAUUUCAAUGGCCUAAAGUUGCUGUCAAGUGGAGGAAUGGUUCGUGGUCUACCCCAGAUUGAAGCCACACGCCAAGUAUGUGAAGGUUGUGUGCUUGGCAAGCAAGCACGACUAUCAUUCCCUGUUGGUGAUACAUGGAGAGCAAAGGCACCACUGCAGAUGGUACACAUGGAUAUAUGUGGUCCAUUGGAUCCUAUGUCUUAUGGAGGUAAUAGGUAUUUUAUUACUUUCAUUGAUGAUUUUAGUAGGAAGACUUGGGUUUAUUUUCUCAAUGAGCAGUCGGCUGCCCUAAAAAUCUUCAAGGAGUUCAAGGCACUCACAGAGGCUGAAAGCAACCACAAGCUUGUGGCUAUGAGAUCAGAUAGAGGUGGAGAGUACACCUCCAAUGCUUUCCAAGCAUACUGCAAGGAGCAAGGAAUUAGGCAUCAACUGACUGCUGCCUAUACCCCACAACAAAAUGGGAUAGCCGAAAGAAAGAAUCGAACCAUCCUUGACAUGAUAAGGUCCAUGCUUAAGGAGAAGAAUUUUCCAAAAGAAUUGUGGGCAGAAGCUGUAGCUUGUUCGAUUUAUUUGUUGAAUCGAUGUCCAACAAAGAGUGUUAAGAAGAUGACACCACAAGAGGCUUGGAGUGGAUAUAAGCCGAAUGUUGCACACCUAAGAGUUUUUGGGUGUGUUGCAUAUGCUCAGGUUCCAGAAGCCAAGAGAAGAAAGCUCGAUGAUCGAGGUGAAAAGUGUGUGUUUGUGGGCUAUAGUGAAGAGUCCAAGGCAUACAAGCUCUACAACCCACUAACUAGAAAAAUAGUGGUUAGUAGAGAUGUCAUCUUCAGUGAGGAAGAGGCAUGGAAGAGGAACAACAAAGAAGUCAGUAAAGGGAAAAUCGUCUCCACUGAUUUUGAAGAACCAUAAGUUGUACCACUUGUUGAGCAACAACCUGCUCAAACAACCACAACAACUCCAUUGCACAGAACUGCAAUGAGUGGUCCUACAUCUAGUGAAGAAAGCAUCUCUUCAACUCCAGUGAGGCUAAGAAGUCUUACCGAGAUAUAUGGACAAGAAGAAGAAGAAGAAACCAACAUUUUCUGCUUGUAUGCAGACCACGAGCCUCUCUCAUUCAAUGAAGUUGUGGAAGAAGAUCGUUGGAGAAUAGCCAUGGAGGAAGAAAUCCAUGCCAUCGAGAAGAAUGACACUUGGGAGUUGACAAAGCUCCCACCAAAUCAGAAGGCUAUUGGUGUCAAGUGGGUGUACAAGAUCAAACGCACUGCAGAUGGGAGUGUGGAUCGGUACAAAUCAAGGCUUGUAGCAAAGGGCUACAAAUAGAAGUAUGGAGUGGACUAUGAUGAAGUCUAUGCUCCAGUUGCAAGACUUGACACGGUAAGAUUGCUAAUCUCUCUUGCCGCUUAUCAUAAAUGGAAAAUUUAUCAACUAGAUGUCAAGUCAGCCUUCCUUAAUGGAGUACUUGAGGAAGAAGUAUAAGUGGAACAACCAGAAGGCUUCCAAGUACAAGGAGAAGAAGAUAAGGUGUAUCGUUUGAAGAAGGCUUUGUAUGGCCUCAAGCAAGCACCACGAGCUUGGAACUCAAGGAUCGAUAACUACCUUCACCAAAAUGGAUUUCAGAAAUGCCCAUACGAACAUUCAGUUUACAUGAAGCAAUGAAGCAAUGUUCUGUGAGUUCAAGCAAUCCAUGUUCACUGAAUUCGAGAUGACUGACAAUGGAUUAAUGUCAUACUUUCUUGGCAUAGAGGUGAAGCAAGAAAGUGACGGUAUCUACAUCUCUCAACAAAAGUACAUGAGAGAUAUAUUGGAGAAAUUCAAUAUGGACAAGUGCAAUAUUGUCAACACUCCAGUUGCAACUGGAUUGAAGCUGUCCAAGGAAGGUGAAGGUGAGUUUGUAAACUCAACCGUGUACAAAAGCUUGGUUGGAAGCCUAAGGUACCUUACAAUCACAAGACCUGAUAUAGUUUAUGGAGUUGGACUCGUGAGUCGGUACAUGGAAACACCAAGGGAGUCUCAUUGGCUGGCUGCCAAGAGAAUCUUGAGGUACAUAAGAGGUACUCUAAACUAUGGUAUGUUUUAUAAUUUUGGUGAAGAUGCAAAAUUAUUUGGUUAUUCAGAUAGUGAUUGGGGAGGUGACCAAGAUGAAAGGAAAAGCAUAACUGGCUAUGUGUUUUUUCUAGGAUCAACAGCUUUCUCAUGGACUUCAAAGAAGCAAUCAAUUGUUGCUUUGUCAUCAUGUGAAGCCGAGUAUGUUGUUGUAGCCUCAACAGUGUGUGAGGCAAUUUGGUUAAGAAAUCUAUUGAAGUCAGUGUGUCAUCCACAAGUGGAAUCGACUGUGAUUCAUGUGGAUAACAUGUCUGCAAUCAAGCUUGCAAAGAAUCCUGUUCAACAUGGAAGGAGCAAGCACAUUGAUACCAGGUUCCAUUUUCUAAGGGAUCAUGUAAAGCAAAAGACAAUCGAACUUGUUUAUUGUCACACGAAGGAACAAGUGGCAGACAUCUUCACUAAGCCACUAACAGUUGAAUCAUUCCGGCUGCUACGUGAAAUGCUAGGAAUGAAGGCGUUUUGAUUUAAGGAGGUGUGUUGGAAAUUCAAAUCAAAACAGAUUGUAAAUGGCAGCUGCUAGCUGUUAGUUUCUUUACAGGUUGUAUUCUCACUUGCUGCAACUGCAAAGACUAAAGUUUUCUCCAUGUGCCAGCUGAAAGUGUGUUGAAAGACAGCAGAGAAGUGAGCUGCUGUGUGCUAGCCGAAAGGUUUGAUUCCAACCUGGAAUAAUGCAAUGCAUGUGUGCCAUACUAUCCAAAGUUGCUGCAUGUGUUUGAAAGGAUGUAAAGAUGGUAAACACCAUCAUUCAUUGCAAGUGUUGUUGUAUUGUUUAUCAAUUUCUGUUUUGUAUAAAUAGGCAUUCUUGCUAGGCUUUAGAAUCAAUUCCAUUCCAAUUCCUUUCUCAUUUUCAGCUUGUAAGCUAUUGAGUUUGUAAACUCUCUUUUCAUAUAUCAAAGUCCAAGUGUUUUGCCAAAGCUUGUAGCUUCCCUCCUUUCUCUAUUUCUUUGUCCAAUUUUAUUGAGAGUGCAAAGUGAGAGGUGUGAUAGAGUUUGUAAACUUAUCACCCACAUAUUUUGGUAUUGAGUUAGUAAACUUUUCAAUACCAACAAAUAUGACUUUAUUAUUAUCUUACUUUCUCUCCUGGAUGUUAUACAAAUGGAACUUUUGUCCAUCUUCGAUUACCUUUGAUUCGAUUGCAUAUGGUGCAAGAACAUUCUUCGAUUACCCUUUGACUCGAUUGCAUAUGGUGCAAGAACAUUCUCACCCUCUUGCUGUUUUCAGUUCAUGCAUUGGAAUGGGAACUCAGUAGCUAGUGUUUGGUUAUUUUCUGUUUGUGUAUGAUCUCCGAUGAUUUAAAACUUGGAUUUCACUUCUGAGUAACAGGUCGAAAUCCCCAAUGAUUUGAAACCGCGGUUAUUCCCUCAUUACAUGGGUAAGCCCAAAUCGUACAAAUCAACUUCCAUUUUGGGAUCAAUUUAUGACGCGGUGGAGGAAUAUCAACCGGAAGACACUUCUGACAAAGGUGAUGAAAUGUUUUAAUAUUAGCUAAUCAUAUUACAUACGUUGCUAUCCAUAGAAAAACAAGAGUUUUGACUUUUCUCUUGUGCCCUUAUGCAGUAGUGGAAAAACUUCCGUGUUUCGAUGUUGAAGACCUCUCCGAGCAGUGCUUGAAGAAGUGGUACGAACUCAGUACAGGAGUGAAAUGAACUCUGUCUUGCAAUACGAUGACAAAGAGGGCAAGAAUCAAGCUGCUGAUAAGAUCAUAAGACGGUAUAAAGAGGUAAGAUUAAUGAACAAACAUUUCGGGACUUGUUACAUGUUCCGGUGCCUGUUCUGCUCUCACUGGUUUGUCUCAAAUUAUUUUUGCAGAUUCUGUAUGGCUGUGAGGACUUCGAGAAGAGCACGAGGCCCUUGGAUGAAAUAUUCAACGAGGCACUCGCCAUAUAUCGUUUCGCGUAUGACUACGCUUGGAAAGUAAAAGAUGUAAGGAAAUGUGGGUUUGCAUGGAGAGUUGCAGGUUCAGCUCUCUGUAAGUAUUACAAGACCAAACACGAGGACCGCACGUUUGAAGUCUCGUUCUCUGUUCUCAAGGACAUCCUCUAAUGAAAGGGGUACGGGGCUCAAGAUCCUCGGCUGAAAUAUUCAUCUGAGGACCGAGGCACCCCCGUUAUGUAUAGUCUCUGUAUAACUUGUGAACGUGCUUGGAUGCAAGACGUGUGCAAGUAAAUGCUGUAUUAAUAAUGCAGUGUAACCAUUAUUCAUGACUAUAUAUGAAAAAGCAAAAAUCAUUUCCCAAAUAUUUGAUUAUCAAUUAGUUAAUUUAAUAACAUAAGAGUCGAAAAUUGUGAAAAGACAAUAAAAUUCUGUUGGAACGAAGGAACAAAACUUUAAGAAAGUGAUUUUUGCACUACUUUUACGAGUUGUGAACUGUUCUGGUAAUUAGAGUACGUGUGAAAUGAGUCAUGCAAAAAUUGAAAUUUCAAUUUAAACAAAAUGACAAUAUGAUAAUCAUUUGAAAAAUAUUUGUAGUAUGUCGUCAAAGCAGAAAAGACGCAAAAGUCUUCAGAAAUAUUUUUGCUCGUCAUCCUAUUAAUUGUCUUUGGAUAAGUUUAAUUUAAUUUUUCUACUACACAAUCUCAAAAUCUGCCGUCGCCAAUGAAUUCAAAGGGUUUGCCUUGUUUUUUUUUUGGACAAAGAGGAACCAUUCAUAACAGCAGAAGCCAGCAGCCAAGCUGCAAAACAAGGAAAGGAAAGAAUACAGGAACCAAAUAGCAAAAAGAGUCAACGAGGACUCACCCUAGAGUUAAGACUAGGAGAAGACAAAGCAUGACACAACAGCGGGGCUAAGGUCCAAUCUGCACUUCUCCACAAUCUCAACUCCAGGGGAAUUAAGGAGGGCACGGGAGACCAUCUUUGGACAAAAUAUGAACUAGAGAGGAUGGGGGUCGAAUGACCCAAACGCCAGAACACAUCAAAGGGUUUGCCUUGUUUAGUAAGCUCCUGAAAAAAAUCCAACAGUUCACUACUGUGUCCCUGACACUUAGCAAGGCAGCAGAUCUCAAUCCCAAUAUUAUUUGGAUUCUUCCAUAUCAUAAAUGCUACCUCAAAGUGGAAUCUUUGUAAAUUUUAUAUUUUAACGUUAAUUUUUGUUCAUUAUUAUAAAUAUUAUGCAAAAGAAUAAUAUUAUAUGACUAAAUUUAUAGAUAAAAUUUUAUAAAAUAAAUAAAAUGAAAAUUGAUGAUUGGAUUAUUACUUAAGUAUUGAUAUACGUGCUCAAUCUAUCAACGACACAUCAUUUAAUUUACAAAUUUAGUCUUCUUUAGUAUUAUCCAUGUAAAAAAUAUGAGAUGUAAAAGUCAACAAAGAAUGUCAAUUUGAGAGAAUUUCGAUAAUAUUUCUCUUAUUAUAUUAUUUAUUGGUGCUUGAAAAGUCUUUCCUAUUGAAAAUUCCAUCUGCAUCAUUAUACAGAAUCUUAAGCUGCACAUGGAGAUGGAGGUAAAGUCGUUCAACAAUUUACACAUAAAGCAGAUUUACUAUUACGAAUCAGGCAUAAAAGAAUUUAUUCAAAAUAUUAUAUAAUUAAACCGAACACAACGAUGAUGACCUCGUGGUUUACGUACCAUGUAAAAAUAUAAAAUAGAGGUUUUUAUUAAUUUUCGUAUAUUAAAACGUCACUUAUGGUUUGAAAUUAAGUAAGAUUAGUUAAAAAUUAAGGAAAAUUAAUGAAAAAGAUUUGAAAACUUUGAGUUUUAACGAAAAUGACAAAAUAAAAGGUAAAAUGAAUAGUACCAUGAUUGAUUUUUUAAUAUAAAAAUAUGGUUUUUCUUUAAAAUGAACAGUAUAGAGAAUUUUUUGUUAAAGUUCCCUAAAAAUUAAAGGAAAACUAAUAAAAUGAAAAUUUGAUGAUUGGAUUAUUAGUUAAGUAUUGAUAUACGUACUCAAUCUAUCAAUGACACAUCAAUUUGCAAAUUUAGUCUCCUUUAGUAUUAUCCGUGUAAAAAAUAUGAGAUGUAAAAGUCUAUAAAGAAUGUCAAUUUGAGAGAAUUUCGAUUAUAUUUCUCUUAUUAUAUUAUUUAUUGGUGCUUGAAAAGUCUUUCCUAUUGAAAAUUCCAUCUGCGUCAUUAUACAGAAUCUUAAGCUGCACAUGGAGAUGGAGGUAAAGUCGUUCAACAAUUUACAUAAAGGAAAACUAAUGAAAAGGGUUUGAAAACUUUGAGUUUUAAUGAUAAGGACAAAAUAAAGGGUAAAGUAAAUAGUAACAUGAUUGACUUUUUAGUGUAAAAAUAUAGUUUUUCGUUAAAGUGAACAGUACCAGGUGCUUUUCGUUAAAAUUUCCUUUACAUAAAGCAGAUUUACUGUUAUGAAUCAGGCAUAAAAGAAUUUAUACAAAAUAUUAUAUAAUUAAACCGAACACAACGAUGAUGACCUCGUGAUUUACGUACCAUGUAAAAAAUAUAAAAUAGAGGUUUUCAUUAAUUUUCGUAUAUUAAAACGUGACUUACGGUUUGAAAUUGAGUCAGAUUGGUGAAAAAUUAAAGAAAAUUAAUGAAAAUUGUUUGAAAACUUUGAGUUUUAACGAAAAUGACAGAACAAAAGUUAAAAUGAAUAUGAUUUUUUAAUAUAAAAAUAUUAUUUUUCGUUAAAAUAAACAGUACCAAAAACUUUUCGGUAAAAUUCUUUAAAAAUUAAUGGACCAGUGGAUCAUGCACAAAAGAGCCCUAAAGGAAAAAGAAAAGAGCUGAAAAAGGAUGAUAUACUUGGUGACUAAUUUACAGUAACUCCUCGAGGAAGUCAUCUCUUCUAUCGUUGAAAAAGGAUGAAGAACCACUUUACCUUGUCGGGCAUGGAUCAGCUUGGAGUCUUGAUCCAAUCCAAAGUCUCUGUACACAGAAAACUUCGUCCGGUUCAUCCCAAGAUAAAAAAAGUGUAAAUAUAAACUUGGUCUGGUUCACAUGGCAGAGGGACGUCAUGUGAAUUCAAAUCACAUCAAGAAGAAGAAAUGGAAAGGAAAAAGGAAUAGUACGUAGUAGCUCCUUUUAAACCACCGGAUUUGAAAUCAACUGGAUUUUGUCAGAAAACCUCCUUCCUUUCUUCCUUUCCAGUUAAUUACAAAGUUAACUAAUGGAUCAUCCGCAUAAUUACGGUUCCAAACGCAGUUACACAGAGAUUGCGGAUGUUGGUUUCGAUGAACCCGUUUUGUCAAAUCCCGACGCUUCCUCUCUCAGCUACUCUCAACUCCCCACCUCCGCCAUUAGAACUUUGUCCCAGCCACGCCUAGCAGCGGCGGCCACUGCCAGAGACGAUUUCCCAGAAACGCAACUCCAUGUGCCUCUGCCCCUGCCGGUGGAGCAAAAACUGAACAGCAUAUGUGAGGAGAAAGACCAGCAGCAGCCGGGCGCUGAUUUGAGAAGGAGGCUGUGUUUGCUAGGGGAGGAGAAGGCACUCGAACUCCUCGGCAAAAUUUACAAAAGUAAAAAGAUCCAAAACCUCAGUAAAUACAUCUGGUUCUGGCUCGGCCAAGAAAGGUACCAAUGUGCCCCUCGUUCUCGUUCUCCUUCCCCUUCCCCUUCCAAGCCUGGCCCUGCUGCUUCUCCGCUUCUUCACAGCCCGUCUUCUGCUUCCCAAAUCACUCCCGGUCGUCAAGGUCAGAUUUUUACUUCAUGGGUUGUUUUGUUUUGGUUGAUCAGUGAUGGGUUUUCUUGGCUGAUUAUUUUUAAAAUCGAUUUCUGCUAUUCUCUCGAAGAAUGCAAGAAUCCUACGGAAAACUAUCAAUUGAUAAAAUGAAUUAAAAUAUAUAAAGAAAGGUUUCACUUCUAAUAUUGCCGAGCCUCUUUUGUGAUAAUUCUCUCUUAUAAUAUAGAUGUAAACUAGGACAAUAUCGAUGUGAUUAGUAGUGAACCGUUGAUUAGUAAUGGACCGUUAAUCCGUCUCUUUGAAACUUGGCACUUUGGCUAUGUGAGUUGCAGGGAGUACUAGUGGAGGACAGAAGCAAUUAGAUUCCUAUUUCUCUGCAUCACCUUCGAAAUCUGCACGUACAUCGCUUUUUCAAGGCCCAUCAUCUGCUCUUCCUCUCAUCAGUCCUGUUCAUAUAGGUCAGAUUUUCGUUCAUGGAUUGUUAGGAUGCCAGGUGGCAUCAUCUUGUGGUGACAAUUAGAGUUGAGCAUGAGUAUAAAUAGUACAUUGUAAGAGAAGGAAGACAGUUAAUGAAAUGAUAUUGUUGUUCUGUUAGUAUUUCUCUGUGCAAUUGUAGAAGAUGUGGAGCUAGGUUCUAACAUUGGUAUCAGCCAGCGUUGAUCCUCUCAAUCCUUCUCCGUUGUAUAACGCCGCAAACAUUUUGCAAAAAAAAAAACCAUGGAAUCGAGGGUUUCCAAUCUGGCAGCCCAGUUCGACGAAUUCAAGAAGUCUCACGACUUGAUUCUUCUUCAAUUGCGGUCCCUCAUGGCUAAGGUCACGAUUCAAUAUCGAAUUCGAGGCAACCAUUCUUCAAAAUGGCGUCUCAUAUCUCUGUUGUGAAAUCGGAUGAAAUUGUUCUCAAGCUUCAAUCCUUCCACAACGAAAAGAUUCAAGCCCGUGAGAAAAGAGAUGAAUUCUGGUCUCAAUUUCGUCCAAGAUACAAGCCCAAGACUCGUUCUGGUCUACGACCCAUAUUGAAGAAAUUCAAGAAGGUGCAUGACUACGGCAAAUACCACAAAGAUGAUUCUACAAAGUUUCGUUCCAGUUCCAAAUUUCAAGAAAUUUUUGGGUUUUUUCGAAGUGAAUUGGCUGGAAAGAAUGCAAAGGUUUUCGAUUUACUCGACAAGAAAGUUGAAGACCCUGUGAAAAGUCCUCCAUUUCUUGAUUCUGAUUGCAUGAAAUCCAAGAUUCAAGCUUGCGUUCUGGGUUCUUCAUCUCCUAACGAAUUGGUUGCUGCGUUUAGCGAUAAAUUCAAUCAAUUCAGGACGUCGACUUCGUCUAAUCGGGAAUUUCACUGCACGAACGACUUGGCCCAAGAAUUCAUUUUCAUAAUUUCCGUAUCUGAUGAUGGGUUCGUGAAAAUUGAUUCACUUGCACUCCAAGUGUUUAAUGAAAGGUCACACUCAGCAGAUUGUGAUUUUCAGUUGGGCUAUCACAUGCCGAUUUCUGACACCGGAGGUACACUUUGUAGGUUCUUUACUUCGAAUGUUCAAAUUAAAGAUGCUCAUAGUUCUAAAUUUCUUGUUUGUCAUGGUGAAGUCAUGAAAAAUGCUACUAUUGUGCAUUUGAAGCUUGGUUUCCAUGAGUUAAUUCGUGACAAGGGUGGGACAAUUAGCCAGAGGCUCUUUAAUUCAAAGUCCAAGAAUACAGAUUGUGCUCGGGGUUUUGAUUGUUCCACGGUGGUCAAACGUGAGGUAAGUUUUGAUUCUUCCAUGAUCAUUGAUGGGGAGUAUGCUGGUAUUUUAGGAUUGCAUCAUUUAGAAGCUUGUAUGGACAAGAAUAGAAAACAUGAAAGCAAGUUCACUCUCUCCAGAUUUGGAAAUGGUUGCUGUAUUGUUUGCUGUGUUGUUUGCCGUGUUGUUCUCAAUCGUGACUAUUGCAAGGGCAUUCGGGAUAAGGGUGGUGGCUCAAAAUUCUGGUACAAUGUCGCAAUAAAGUGUGCAACUAUCACUCCAGAUGAAACUCGUGUUAAGGAGUUCCACUUGAAACAGAUGUGGAGGAGUCCAAAUGGGACCAUACGGAACCAUUUAAAUGGUACUGUUUUUGGAGAACCUUUUAUCUGCAGAAAUGUUAUCCUUCUUGUUCCAGAUUGGACAAUGCCAACAUGUAUUGGGAGACAUGUUUUUGGUGCUCAGUACCGAGCAACUGAUGCAAUCAUAGAAGGACCUGGAAAAACUUCAAUUGGUUUUUGAAGCAUCUUGCUAUCGAAUCAGGGAAGAAAUAUGUUAGGGAGGAUUAUCCGGUUCAUAUGUUUUAUAGGCAGAAGAAACUAACAUUUGAAAGUAAUGUUCAUGGAUCUUUUGGUUUGCAGUCAUAUCCAUCACAAGCAAUACGCUUAUGUUGAUCAAAUGAUUUGGUCAAUACCAUUGCUCAACUUUUUUGGAGGGUGUAAUGUGGAGUCAAGGCAGUGAGCUACUCUGCUACGCUAGAGAAGCAAUGCUGAUUGCUAGUGAAGUGAGUCCAAUGGCAGAACCAUUUCAGGAAUGAUGCUAUUGGAGAGCUAUACCAUGGACUGAAGCUUAAGUUCCGGAAAUUGUGAACCUUUAAUACAUUCUUGUGAUGUUGUUGUUAUAGUUUUAUUGCUGGUUUUCAAUUGUACUUACUUCGAAAUUGUAAAUCUUACUUGUAAGAUUGGUUUUAAGGGGGGGGUAUUGUUAGGAUGCCAGGUGGCAUCAUCUUGUGGUGACAAUUAGAGUUGAGCAUGAGUAUAAAUAGUACAUUGUAAGAGAAGGAAGACAGUUAAUGAAAUGAUAUUGUUGUUCUGUUAGUAUUUCUCUGUGCAAUUGUAGAAGAUGUGGAGCUAGGUUCUAACAUGGAUUGUGUCAUUUCUGAUUGUUUUUCUUUUACGAUUGCUUUUUACUCCUAUCCCUCGAAUUCUCCUUCGAAAGAUGCCCGUACUUUUCUUUUUCAAGGCCCGUCUUCUGCUCCUCCUCCUACUUCUAUCACUCCGGUUCUACUUUUUCAAGGUCAGAUAUGUUGCACUUUCUCUGUUUCAUGAUUUUCUUUCAUUGUGAUCAACUGACAGGAGAUACUACAGACAAUCGAUACUACUUGCAAUGUGGCAGAGCUUUAAACGUAAAUGCAACUGCAAAGGUAUCAAAUUACGAAAGUAAUUUGGAAAAGGUAGGUUGCAGAAAUUUGAAGUCUUUUUGUAUUAUGAGUUUAGUGUCAUUGUCUUCUGCCUUUCUACCACCUUAUACAAAUUUUCCCUUUAGUUCAAACAUCUUCCUUUCGAAGUAAUCUUCUCUCCUCCUAGUUGUUGAUGUGACUACUGACAAGAGAUUGAGCCUCGAACAGGGCUAAUGUUACUCCGUUUAAAUGUAAUUAAGCAAUUUAAUUUUGGCUUAAUUAUAAAAAACCUUUCACCUUCGGCUUGUCGGGAAGGGGGUUAUCACCAUUAAGUGACCGUUAUUAGCAUAAACUUUUCCUCUAAUCCACUAGCUCUAACGGGCAAAUUUUAAAGGAUAUAAAAGGGAACACGCUAUCAAUUUUCACUUCACCUUCAGUUUCCAGAAAACUUUAAGUCUUCGAAAGAUCGAUAAUUUCAUCUUCCGAAAACUGAAUUCAACUAUCCGUUUCUGAAAAUUUCAAACUCUCAAUCAAUUCAUCCAUGUCGACUUCAACAGCUUCUCGUCAUGAGUCUGAUGAAGGUCUUACCAGCCUUAGAACUCGAUUGAACACUCUACAAAGUGCAAGGUGGUCUGAAUCUUCCAGUCUACUUUCACCAUGGGAAUCCUACUAUUUGGACCCAUUGUGGUACCAAGAAAUGUCAGAUGUAGUUGAGAAAAAUAAGCCUCCAGCCACCUAGCUCUCUCAUUCUCCUUAAUCUAAUUCGAAGGGAAUUUGCCCGACCAGGUGGAGUAACGCUUCUAGAGGUUUCCCGACCGCCCCUGGUCAAGAGUGGUCGAAGUGGGUUGAUGCUCGAGAACCAUUCUUUAUAGCAAGAGUGGUCGAAUGGGAUUUAUGACCUGAAUUAUGAUGUCCAAAUCUUCUGUGACCCUGAAGCCCGAACUGCUCAGUGCAGCCUUGCUAUUCUGGAAUAAUGCAAUCAAUACUUUUGAUUUCAGAGGCUCAGCUGUUUGGUAUGUGGCCAUGAGGUAGGUGUAUUGACGUCUCAAAGGAUUAGUUGUCUCACUGGGACUUGCAGUCGAAGAAGAAGAAAAGAGAAGUUGAGGCCACUCUACCAACAGUGAAGAUUAAGUAUCUAUCUUCAGGGUUUCAGGCUUGUGCGACCUACUACUUUGGCUUUCUCAGCUAUUUUAAAAGCAAGUAUGGCCCCUCGUCCUCGUCCUUCUCCACCAAUAGAGAUCAAGAGCACAUGGACUUCUUGCUCUAUUAGAUGAAUAAGUUCAUGUUCCCCAACCCUUUAAAGGGUAUGGAAGUUAGUGGAUCCCUCUCGUUGUAGCCUUGAAUCAAUAUGAUGAUUAGCCAUAAAAGAUGCUAGUUCUCGGGCUCGAGCAACUUCUCCUACUUCUUCAUCUUCAUCAAAGAUGCUCAGAUAGAGGAGAACUAAGGCUAGGCACAACACUCUUGCCUCAGAGGCUUCCUAGACUUCAACCAGAAAGAGGACUAGGCCCGAUACUGGUCUCAAAAUAGGUGAAGCUUCUGGGACAGUUGGUAGGAAGAAGAAGGGAGCAGCCAAUAAGUGAUUAAGUGCUUUUUGAUGAGUUGUUAGUUUAUAUAACUUACCGAUGAAUUCUAACACAGGAUUGUCGGAGUUCAACCAGAAGAAAGACUCGGCCCAAGACUAUAAUAUCUCCUUCAAAGGUGGUGAGUUUUCACCUAACUUACGAGAGAAACCACAAUAAAAAUGUUGUUGCUGCCAUAAGUCAUCCUUUAGAUAUUCAAUUUACAUUUUUCUGUGGUUCACAAAUCCUAAUUUUCUCUUAUGCCUCUUGUCCAUGGAUAACUAACCGCUUGUUCUAGCAGGAACAAAAGAAUCAAGUCAUGAAUGAACCUCUCCAAGAUAUCCUUUAUCCUAAUGAGGUUGGGAGUUCAGGAGUUCAUCCCUCAGGCCCUUCUGGUGCUAAUGCAGAGCCUAAGAUGUCAAAGGAGCCUUUCACUUUCCCUUCGGGCAACAAAUCUCCUUCACCUCCUGUCGUCGAGCAAUCAAAGGUUGCUUUGAUAGAGGCUGAGAAUGUUGAUUUGCCUGUAGAGGUAGCAACAAUUCCCGAACAGGUAUAUUCGUUGUCAUUUAUCUAUUUACUUUUGCAGUUAUCCUUUUUAACUUUACCAUGAUUUUCAUGCCUCACACACUUCGAUUUCAGGGUUCAGCAGCUCCAUCUUUACUAGCCACACAUGAAGAGGCCUAUCUAACUAUCAACCUUCCCCAUACCCCAGCAAUUGGAGUAGUGGAUAUUGACAGUUCGUCAAGGGAGAAAGGGAAGGCCCCUAGCUCGACAAAAGAAGCUCACAACACAUAUUUCCUUGUUCCUCAUUCUGUGCCUGAUGCUAGCAAGGAAAAGCCUAGCAC